rnacentral:lncRNA from 7 species
GUGACCAUUUAGCAUCUCAUUAAGUGGGCAGUCUGAAGUGUGCUCAGAGAAAACUUAAAUUCUGCUAUUUGGUUUGUAAUUGUGGCCCUAGGCUUGAUAGGCGGUAGUACCAGGGACUCAUCACUAAGUUCUUACCUAAAGAAGACAUCUGUGAGCCUUGAUAACUUCGUUGGCGUCAAGGUGAGAGAACAAGAAGGAAAUAACAGGAAAACUGGCAAGGAAAGCAGUGCGAGGCUGAGAAUUUUCUUAGUCUGAAAAACUGGAGCUGGUUCCCUGGAAACUAGAGACUAAGCACUUAUACAGAGAACAGAACACACAAUGUCGCCAUCAACUGCGUGCCUGCUUUCCUCCACCUGUGUCAAGCUCCAAAUGAUGACAGAAGGCCAUGAGCAAUUUUUGCUACUAAGAGAUACUGACAAAGAGAGGAAGAAGGUGAAGAACUGGGCCACUCCUAAGACUGUUACUUUUCUGGUUGCAAAGCAAUAUAAUUAAGACAGAUUCCAUUUUGCUUGCUGGAUGGUGAAAACUCAUGGGAAGCAAAAUUCACAUCACAGCUUUCUGGCAAGCUUUAAACAAAAUGCAUCUAAAAAAAAAAUAAAGACAAGAGCUUGUAAUACUCUUCUUAGCAGUGUGAAGAGCAGAGUCUGAUCCUGCUUUCACAGCAGGAAUUUGUUCAGAGUUUUGUUUAAUUAUUGUCAGGAGCUGCAGGGAUGUUCUUUCAGAGAAUUAGCAAAAGAAAUGUCACAGCUGGAAAGUCACAUUGAGAAUUUGACGAGGCUCCUUUCACCAAUCUAGACUUGAAAAAGUACAUUUACCAUAAUAAACAUAGAAUGGCUGAGAGCAGGUUAGAUGCCAAGAAAACCAGAUUUUCUUUUCCUACAGGGAUAGCUGUAGAUCCAAAAUGCUGCUUUUAAUUAGAGUUUGAGCAACUUCCUAAACAAAGAGUAUUAGUUCUUUCCCUUUCCUGCCCCACAUGUAGCCCCAGGAAUUCAGUGUGCAAGAAGCGAACAUGGAAAACUUCCUAAGACUGGGUAGAGGACAUUAGGAAAGGUAUGAAGGAAGCCACAAUAAAGACUGAGUAUGAUGAAACCCAUAAUAUGGAGUUUUCAAAUAUUUCCUCCAAUAUUGACUUCAAUGUGAAGUUGACUUUUCUCAUGACUUUCAAAAAAUGACUGCAAUUAUUGUCACUUUUCUGCAACAACAACAACAAAAUUCUCCUUAAAAAUGCUUUCCUUGGAUUUUUUUUUAAAUUGAAAGUAUUUAAUGUGAACAAAACUACGUUAUAAGAACAUGAACAUCUAAUAGAAUGAACUGUAAAGACACUAGACAAAACAGAUCCGUCUCCCAUCUUCCUAGCACCUUUGUUUAUUACUCCAAAUGAGUCAACUCAUGGGAGAAUGUUGUAAAAACAGUCCCUUUCAUCACCUUGGGAAGAUUGUUCAGAUCAUGAAAUAAAAAUCCCUGAUAACCAUUCAGGCUUAUACCUUUUGUUCCACUAAAAAAUGUCCUUCUUCCGUGAGGAUAUGGAAGUGGAUCUAGAGGCUAAGUGGCUGAGUGUAGAGAUCAAACAAAGUCUUAUCCUGAGCAACUAACCUCACAUGAGGUCAUGAUUAAAACAAUAUAACUGUGAGCCAAUUUAAAUGGCCUCACAGGUGGCAUGUUGCCUAUAGGGCAUUCUUCUGGUGCAAAGGCUUAGGAGAAGAACAGUCAAAAUGGCUUAUUUUGUCAUAUUCUGUACAAUCUUAUAUAUGAUCAGAUAAUACUGU